rnacentral:rRNA from 1 species
GAUGAACGCUGGCGGCGUGCCUAAUACAUGCAAGUCGAGCGAACAGACGAGGAGCUUGCUCCUCUGACGUCAGCGGCGGACGGGUGAGUAACACGUGGAUAACCUACCUAUAAGACUGGGAUAACUUCGGGAAACCGGAGCUAAUACCGGAUAAUAUAUUGAACCGCAUGGUUCAAUAGUGAAAGACGGUUUUGCUGUCACUUAUAGAUGGAUCCGCGCCGCAUUAGCUAGUUGGUAAGGUAACGGCUUACCAAGGCAACGAUGCGUAGCCGACCUGAGAGGGUGAUCGGCCACACUGGAACUGAGCCGCGGUCCAGACUCCUACGGGAGGCAGCAGUAGGGAAUCUUCCGCAAUGGGCGAAAGCCUGACGGAGCAACGCCGCGUGAGUGAUGAAGGUCUUCGGAUCGUAAAACUCUGUUAUUAGGGAAGAACAAAUGUGUAAGUAACUAUGCACGUCUUGACGGUACCUAAUCAGAAAGCCACGGCUAACUACGUG